GGCAACAUAAAGCUAUAAAGCUUUAUUCAACGUCUAAUGAGAGCUUAAAGCUUUCCUUCUGUAGAUUACAGUAUAAAAAGGACGGAGAGUAAACUCGUAGCCGCGAGGCUGAAAUCCCUAUUAAAGCAGUCCGGGUCGUCAAGCCCAAAUCCGAAGGGACUUCUGCCUUGCAGACGACUGUUGACGUCAUCACGAUGGGGUUCGAUGGUCUUACGAGCUCCUGUGUAAGUUCGCUUGACAUAGGUAGGACACAGGUAGGUUUGCGGCGAGUAUAGCAACUAAAUUAGGUUCAGUACGUACUACCGUAUACGGCGCCGCGCGGCUUGCUGUUUCCUAAUUAGUUGUUGCUCCAUAGGUAAAUGCCAUUUUCUGUUACAAAGAAUGAAAGAGAGAAAUGGACUGAGAGGCCCGAAGAAGACGGGCCUAACGAACGGAGAAAGAGACACCGCAACUGAACUAACGCGAGGCUGCGCCAGAAACGGGCGGGCGGGCGGGCGCGCGCUGAACAACAAAAACAAGAUAAGCUAACCAGCUUAAUGCGCGCAAUAAAUGACGGCCCUGAGGACACGGGCCGUUGCGAAACAGUUAGUCUAACAGUUACGCAUUGGGCCUUACGCCCAACUAACCCAGCUUACUUACGCAAGCUCGCAUUAGUUGUUGCUCCAUAGGUAAAUGCCAAAGGAGAAGAUACCCCCUCUAGCGGAAAUAACAAACAAACUGAGCACCAAAACAGCGCAACGCGACGGGCCGCUAGAGGGACAAAGGACGCGAGAGCUGCCAGACAGGCACACACAGCGACACGAAAUAAAGCUCCCCAAGCAAAACGCCUCAACGACCUCCAAACGAUACUCCAGCAGCAAGGACGGCGGACACGCCAUCUCUACACAGGCAAAAGAGCAAACAAACAGAACGCUGCCAAAACCACAAGGACGAGGUCAAACCAGCGCUCUCCAACCGCGCACAGACUGACCCACCGGCCACAAACGCGACGGAUCCCUCAACAAACGCUGACGGACGCCCACUGAAGGAAUGGACGAUAGACACGCGAGAAUGCCAAACAUGUGCCCGCUGAGGGUUGACUAAACGGCCAACUAGGGCUUGAACUGAAAACCGGCUCUGCAAUAACGACCGCUCCACGCGCCCAGGGCGCUGACAGCAGGGAUACGGAUGACGAAACCCAGCACGACAAACAGCAAGGUCGGGCCACCUCCGAACCAACAGGUACACCGGCCAACUGUUCAAAGAAUCCACACAGCACCUGCAAUAAAGACCAACACAAAGAGAGUCUGACAGAGCCACGGAGUGCUGCAAAUGCAACCAACUACUAUAAAAACGCCGCCAGCAGGGGCUGUCUCCAGCACAGGGCGCUCUUGGUUAACCGAGCAAGACAUACACNNN
rnacentral:lncRNA from 1 species